rnacentral:rRNA from 1 species
ACGGGUGAGUAACACGUGAGUAACCUGCCCUUGACUCUGGGAUAAGCCUGGGAAACUGGGUCUAAUACCGGAUAUGACCUUCCAUCGCAUGGUGGUUGGUGGAAAGCUUUUGUGGUUUUGGAUGGACUCGCGGCCUAUCAGCUUGUUGGUGAGGUAAUGGCUUACCAAGGCGACGACGGGUAGCCGGCCUGAGAGGGUGACCGGCCACACUGGGACUGAGACACGGCCCAGACUCCUACGGGAGGCAGCAGUGGGGAAUAUUGCACAAUGGGCGCAAGCCUGAUGCAGCGACSCCGCGUGAGGGAUGACGGCCUUCGGGUUGUAAACCUCUUUCAGUAGGGAAGAAGCGAAAGUGACGGUACCUGCARAAGAAGCGCCGGCUAACUACGUGCCAGCAGCCGCGGUAAUACGUAGGGCGCAAGCGUUAUCCGGAAUUAUUGGGCGUAAAGARCUCGUASGCGGWUUGUCKCGUCUGCCGUGAAAGUCCGGGGCUCAACUCCKGAUCWGCGGUGGGUACRGGCAKACUAKWSUGAUGUARGGRAGACUGGAAUUCCUGGUGUAVCGGURAAAUGCGCASAUAUCASGAGGAMCACCSAUGGNCSAMGKCMGGUCUCUGGRCWUA